CAACAACCACGCACAUUUGGAGGUGCUAACUUGUAAUGGAAAUGUUGAUCUGAGUCAACAGAUCAAGUCAAGUCGCUCCGAGUAGGGGCAGGAUUCUUUUGGGAUUCCUGCUCUUCGUCCCAGCACACCUAGUGUUAAUGAGCACACCUGUGAUUCAUUAUGUGAUUCCACUGCCUCUACUUAAAUGGAGAGACGCCCUUCAUCCAGUGCCUGAUCAUCAAUCAUCACCUUUAAUGUCCGUCUGUGCUGGAAAUCCUGCUAUGUUUGUCUUGUGUCUUCUGAGAGUUGUUCUGUUUGUUGGGUUGCUAUUUUGCGGAUCUGAGCCUGUGCAAAAUUAAGAGCAUUUGCCUCAAGACAUUGUUGCAUAUUUCCUGCUUGUAGAUAAACUAUUGAACUUUUAUUCUAAAGGACCCACAUUUGAGUCCACCUGCGUUAAUCCCCCUGACCAAAUGAUAUGUUUUCUCCCUUGUGAUGCUCUACUUUGCCACCUUCAGUUGCUGUUUGUUUUUCUUCAGUUUUGUAUUUAAUAACUGAAAGCAUAUUUUGGCUUACUCCUGGCUCUAACUCCUCAACAGAUGUUUGUGUAACCCCUUGAAUUAAAGCUGAAAGCCUCCACAUAAA